CCUGGCAUACUGAGUCUCUGAAUAUUUUCUUCUGACCACACAUCCCAGGUACACUUAGAAUGUGCAGCAAAGGAAAAUCAGCCAAUGGCAAUUUACCAACAACAAAGAAUUCACAAUCCCAAAUCCACCCCUCUGUGAAAACUGAGGUGCUUACAGCCACAAUUCUGCUGGAUGUGUCAUUGAACGUAGAAAAUGAUUCUGCAUAAAUUUUGCAUAAACCAUCUUGCAAGAUUUUAAAUCUUUCUUAAGCAAUGAAGUAUUCUUGGUUCUGAAUGUAUGAUGAGCUUAAGUCCAUAAAGCAUAGGAACAGAAGUAGGCCAUUCAGCCCAUUAAAUCUGCUUUGCCAUUCAAUGAGAUCAUGACCGAUCUGAUUAUAGGAUAAAAGCCCAUACCGUUAGAGGUAGUAUUUUAGCAUGGACAGAAGCUAACUAACUAAUGGAAGACAGAGUUGGAGUAAGGCAUUUCAGGAUGGCAAUCUGUAAUCAGUGGUGUGCCAGAAGGAUCGGUGCUGGGCAAUAAUCGAGCGCUUUAGGGAGCACCCGCACCAAUCAACCACACCGCCCCGUGGCCCAACAUUUCAAUUCCCCCUCCCACUCUGCCGAGGAC